rnacentral:lncRNA from 1 species
AUUAAGUCCUAGUCCAGACCACAAUAGGGUAGUAAUGGCUUGCUUAAUUUGGCAGGUAACAUUAAGUAAACCUGUCCCUGGGAGAAACACACAGAGGAAGCAUGAAAGAAACAGUAACCCCAACAAGCCUGCUGCUAAGUUCAUGUUUGCCAUGUACUCUUCUUCAAAGCAGGGCAAUAAAGGGGAAAUGGCCACUCUGCCCUCCCUAGUUGUAGGUGGCAGUGGCUGCAAUAAAUAGGCCAAGUAAAGCUGUACUAUCUUCAGGUGGAAGGAAGACACACAGGCAGCAAGUUAACAGCAAUCCAUCACCUCAAGUUUUGGUGUAUAACUUAUCUAAACAUACUACUCACUCUGUUACCUUAAAACCUUUCAAAGCUGAUAGGAGGUUAUGGAGCUUCUCUCUUCCUUAUACACUGCUAGAGCCAGGGUCAACUCGCUACCAUCAGCAGCUCAGUACUCUUCUGUGACUGAUGCCACCUAAAGACACCCCAAGGAGGUCAUACUUGGCAUAGAAGUUAAAGAGCAGUUUUCAAAAGCCACGUGCAGUUAAACAGGUAGUACUUAGAUUUUAAUACCACAGUAUAAACACCAUACCACUUCUGCUCAACUCACAAAUGCACUGUCUUGAGACAGUGGUUCUGCUUUCCUCAGCAUUUUUCCUUUUGUCACAGCAUACUAUCCCACGUGUCAAAGAAAAAAAACGUACCCCACAGUGAAAUCAGUCCCAGUAACCAGAUGGGUACUGAUGUCACUUGCAACAGAGAGACCUUGACCCAUCCUAGUUUAGGAUUCCUUUUUUCUUCUACAUUCCCUUCUCCGUUUCACAAAAGCCUCCACUUAUCUGAGGUGCUUUUUCAGGGAGGGUAAGGAUUUACCUAUGCUCCACUCCUCAGGAAAUGGUGAAUCACUUGACUGAAGGAAAUGCUUUAUAAGCUAUUUUAUUUAAAUAUUUUCUCCAACCUGAAAUGGAAAAUGAGUGUCUUUGCUUGGAAGAAGAUUGUGUAAACAAUGAUCUUUGCAGCACAGCGAGUUCUCACAUGGAAGAUCUGUAUUAAGGCAGCCCUUAGAGUACUUUCAAAUAUCCAUUGGUAUGUCCCCUUUGGAUUGCUUUUCUCUGCUUUCAACCCAGGCCUUGUUGAUGGUGCGCUUCAUUUCAUCAUCUCCUUCUGCAUACAUCUUUUUUAAAAGGUUCAUAAGCCCUUCGCUAGGAUCUGAGGUGUCAUAGGCAGCCUUCUCUUUCUCUUUGCUUUCUUUUUCCACUUGAGUGAGACACUCCCAUUUUUCCUCUCGCUUCUUCUUACACAUCACAAGGACUGUGUCUGUCUUUAUCUGGAUGGAGAACAGCAAGAUGUGAAUUUAGAAUGCUAAUAAAGGAUGCUAGUCACAACCACAAUAAAUAAGAUGAACUUUCAUCUCUUUCUAUACUAAUUCCCAAAACAUUUCUUUGCUAUUGAUUUUUAGGUAAUGUACAGAAAUCCUAACAUGUAUUCAGCUUCACAGCACCAAGUGUUAACCUCACUGUGGUGGGAUUAAAUGGCAUGACUGAUAGAACACUAGUAUCAUACUACAGUACUAACUACUCUAUGGUACAGCAGAACAUACAGCGCUGUAGAAGCACCAGUCAGUCAUUUUAGGAUACUAAAAGCACACAGGACUGUCUGGUAAAUGGUGAUACCAAGUUUUGGAAGAAGCUCUCCCAGCUCAUUUCUCCAAGGACAAGAAACUGGUUUAAGGACAUUGCUUCAUCUCACAGUAUGUUUGCAAGUUAUAAGCAAAGCCUGUUUAAUUGCAACCCUGACCUAAAUUCCUCAAAACUGCUGUGUGCCAUGGCACACAAAAUUCUGCUGGAGCACUAGCUUAGCUCAGUGGAAUGACCACUGUUCUUUUUUCACACUCUAUUAAGAAAAUCACCUUUUUUUUGUUUCUUUGUUUGGUACACUAUUCUAGCUUUAGGACAACUUCAAACUGAACCAUCAUUUAGUUCAAUGGUGUAACAAGUAGCAAAGUAAGAACAGUAUUUCAGUUGCAGUCAUCAGCAGUGAAAAGCUGCUCCUGUUCAACCUAUCCCUACCAAAGCCAGAGCAAGUAUUGACAUUGUUUUGGGCAUUAUGCCUAUUUAAGCAACCCAAGACUUUGGUCUGCUGACAAGCCCCCAGUCCUUAGAACUGCAAAGGCUUUUAGAAUUGUUUAAAAGCAGAAGAAUGCAA